rnacentral:rRNA from 1 species
UACGAAGGAGGCGAGCGUUGUUCGGAAUUACUGGGCUUAAAGGGUGCGUAGGCGGCGCGGCAAGUCGGGUGUGAAAUCCCUCGGCUCAACCGAGGAAUGGCGCUCGAAACUACCGUGCUCGAGGAAGGCAGAGGUGAGCGGAACUCAGGGUGGAGCGGUGAAAUGCGUUGAUAUCCUGAGGAACACCGGUGGCGAAAGCGGCUCACUGGGCCUUUUCUGACGCUGAUGCACGAAAGCUAGGGGAGCAAACGGG